GUCCCUGUAGCUCAGGUGGAUAGAGCAUUUGCCUUCUAAGCAAAGGGUCGCACGUUCGAAUCGUGCCAGGGACA
rnacentral:tRNA from 1 species